rnacentral:lncRNA from 12 species
CUUCUCGGUGCUAGUAUUGUGGUUAGGAUUUUUAGAUGUACUUUCAUAUUUAUUUUCUGCAUCUGAGACUAGAGUCAUGCCAGCCACAGAGAAUAGACCUGAAACCUUCCCUUGCCUGUGUCUCGUCUGUGAAAGCAUCCACAGGGUGAGCAAACACAGUGCGGUCCCCUUGGCCCAUCCUUUGGUUAAACAUUGCUCUUUCCUCUUUCUUCUGUGAAAACUGGUCUUUGUCUUCAGUCAAUUUAGGUGUUUUAUGUUUCGCUAAAAAAAUCACUUCUUUCCUCAAAGUACUUAAAUGUGUGGCAUCACUUUGCCUGUAGAAUUCACCACUGGCUCCAUUGAUCACCUUCAUUCAAGUUUUGGCUGUCUUUGGGGCAGAGAGGCCACUGGCUUGUUUAUCUACUCAGUUCUUCUGCCUCUGUACAACACAUGCUCAGACACCUGGAACAGAAGACUGAGAAGCCACAGGAAAGCAGGUUUGGGGCCCCAACAGAAAGCCC